UACGUAGGGUGCGAGCGUUAAUCGGAAUUACUGGGCGUAAAGCGUGCGCAGGCGGUUUGUUAAGCCAGAUGUGAAAGCCCCGGGCUCAACCUGGGAAUGGCGGUGGAUACUGGAUAGCUAGAGUGUGUCAGAGGAUGGUGGAAUUCCCGGUGUAGCGGUGAAAUGCGUAGAGAUCGGGAGGAACAUCAGUGGCGAAGGCGGCCAUCUGGGACAACACUGACGCUGAAGCACGAAAGCGUGGGGAGCAAACAGG
rnacentral:rRNA from 1 species